rnacentral:tRNA from 1 species
GCACAUGUAGCUCAGCGCAAGAGCACCAGCCUUGUAAGCUGGAGGUCGAGGGUUCUUCACCCCCCAUGUACA